UGGUACUGUGCAAAAUGCGAAAAUAAACAAAUUAUGUUUGAAAAAUUGCAGCAGAAAUUGGAUGAAAAAUUGCAGCAGAAAUUGGAAAAAUAUAAGUUCGUAAAAUAGAGAUGUCAUGAAUUCUCCCGCUAACGCAAGCAUCUUCAUGUAUAUAUAGAAACUGUUAAUUUUUGUGUUAAUAGGACAUGUUCUGUUCUUUAAGCUUAAGGAAAGUGGAAAGGACGUGCGACUUGCACAUGCGUUGGAUCUACGUCCCGCAUCCUGGUAACAUAGUCAUACAAUAUAUGUACAUACAUAGUUCAAAACGUAAUUUUGGACGGUGCAUCUUAUCACAGAGAUCAACGCAUGUCAGAAAGAAAGUAAACUUACUGAACUCCAAAUAUAAUCGGGCAAUUUAAAUUGAAAGUAUCAUGCAUCGUUGUCGCGUCAAGAUGAGCAAUAUUACAUCUCGUAACUCUUCUCAUCAUUUCUGCAUUCGUAAAUGAUAUGGCUGGUGCUGACGCGGUGUUGCAAGUAUGAAGAGAUCCACCGCAUUCGCUAACCGUCCUUGUGUUCGAAGCAGUGGUGCCGUGUUAAAGCCAAAAGCAUGUUGGACACAGAUGAAAUAUGGCUGGUGCUGACGCGG